rnacentral:lncRNA from 1 species
GCCGCCCCGAGGCGAAACCUCGCGGUUCCUCUUCCCUUCCCUGCUGAGACUAAGACGUGGACAGGGGCCGCGCAGAUCCGGGGGAGGCUCCCAAAUUGGAACCAGGCUUCUGGCUGCCCCCUUCCCUCCCGCCCCGUGGUCGGAAGAGCACUCCCUUCCCUGGCCCCUCAUCCAGCCUCCGGUGCUGUAAAACGCAGGCGCUGGGCCGCGGGCGGAGCUGAGGACAGGCCUUGGCUGGUCCCAGGAUGAGCGACGAGUUUGGUUUUAGCUGGGGAUUGUGCUGGCAUCCUGCGAAGCUCCUCCCAGCCGGUCUCUCUGUGCUCGGUUGUCUUGGGGUGGGGCCCAUCCGCCGAGGUGGGGACCGAUAGGAGAAGCCGGCUAAAGGAAAGUCACCUGCAAGAGAUCCCGGCACUGAUCUGGAGCAGCUGACAGGGUGGGUCUCCCUUACCAAAGAGAAGAACCACUCUCUGGCGCUGGGGUGACCUGCUGGCUGGGCCUGUAAGGUUUCCAUGUUGCUGAGGCCAUGGAGAUUCCCAGAGCUGGUCACACCGACCGCUCUCAGGGCCCGCUGCCCUGGGCUGGCAACACCAUUCUGGCCUUGGCCUGCAGAAGCUUUCAGAGUCUUCACUGGCAGUAGGGGGAGAUGGGGAGAGGAAUGAUCUCUGCCCAGCCCCUUCCUUUCCAAACCAUGCAAUGGAAGAGCCCAGAUGGGUGAAGAUUGAUUUUGCCUUAACUCAAGAGAAUUCCUGUUCUCCUUGUGCUAUGAUUUGGACACAAGAUUCUGGAUAC